GGCAGCCAUUGUAAAUAAGUCCCA
rnacentral:siRNA from 1 species